rnacentral:rRNA from 1 species
GACGAACGCUGGCGGCGUGCUUAACACAUGCAAGUCGAACGGAAAGGCCCUGCUUUUGUGGGGUGCUCGAGUGGCGAACGGGUGAGUAACACGUGAGUAACCUGCCCUUGACUUUGGGAUAACUUCAGGAAACUGGGGCUAAUACCGGAUAGGAGCUCCUGCUGCAUGGUGGGGGUUGGAAAGUUUCGGCGGUUGGGGAUGGACUCGCGGCUUAUCAGCUUGUUGGUGGGGUAGUGGCUUACCAAGGCUUUGACGGGUAGCCGGCCUGAGAGGGUGACCGGCCACAUUGGGACUGAGCUACGGCCCAGACUCCUACGGGAGGCAGCAGUGGGGAAUAUUGCACAAUGGGCGGAAGCCUGAUGCAGCAACUCCGCGUGCGGGAUGACGGCCUUCGGGUUGUAAACCGCUUUCGCCUGUGACGAAGCGUGAGUGACGGUAAUGGGUAAAGAAGCACCGGCUAACUACGUG